GGGCCCGCACAAGCGGUGGAGUAUGUGGUUUAAUUCGAUGCAACGCGAAGAACCUUACCAGGGCUUAAAUGUUAGGUGACAGAUCUAGAAAUAGAUUUUUCUUCGGACUACUUACAAGGUGCUGCAUGGUUGUCGUCAGCUCGUGCCGUGAGGUGUCAGGUUAAGUCCUAUAACGAGCGCAACCCCUGUUGUUAGUUGCCAUCGAGUCAUGUCGGGAACUCUAACAAGACUGCCGGUGCAAACCGUGAGGAAGGUGGGGAUGACGUCAAAUCAUCACGGCCCUUACGUCCUGGGCUACACACGUGCUACAAUGGCCGGUACAGAGAGCAGCCACUACGCGAGUAGGCGCGAAUCUUCAAAGCCGGUCUCAGUUCGGAUCGGAGUCUGCAACUCGACUCCGUGAAGCUGGAAUCGCUAG
rnacentral:rRNA from 1 species